rnacentral:rRNA from 1 species
GAUGAACGCUGGCGGCGUGCCUAAUACAUGCAAGUCGAGCGAACAGACGAGAGUGCUUGCACUCUCUGACGUUAGCGGCGGACGGGUGAGUAACACGUGGGUAACCUACCUAUAAGACUGGGAUAACUUCGGGAAACCGGAGCUAAUACCGGAUAAUAUUUAGCUUCGCAUGAAGCAAUAGUGAAAGACGGUUCUGCUGUCACUUAUAGAUGGACCCGCGGUGUAUUAGCUAGUUGGUGAGGUAACGGCUCACCAAGGCAACGAUACAUAGCCGACCUGAGAGGGUGAUCGGCCACACUGGGACUGAGACACGGCCCAGACUCCUACGGGAGGCAGUAGUAGGGAAUCUUCCGCAAUGGACGAAAGUCUGACGGAGCAAUGCCGCGUGAGUGAAGAAGGUUUUCGGAUCGUAAAACUCUGUUGUAAGGGAAGAACAAGUACGUUAGUAACUGAACGUACCUUGACGGUACCGUACCAGAAAGCCACGGCUAACUACGU